rnacentral:ncRNA from 1 species
GAGUUGUAUGAAGGGAGGGGGAUUAGCAUCCCCCUUGACAAAGAUGGACAGGGCCUCAGAUCUACAUACUUGUACAUGGUUAAGGCUUUGCCACCCAUUUCAUAACAUCUGUUUAUU